rnacentral:rRNA from 1 species
GUUUGACUGGGGCGGUCUCCUCCUAAAGAGUAACGGAGGAGCACGAAGGUUGGCUAAUCCUGGUCGGACAUCAGGAGGUUAGUGCAAUGGCAUAAGCCAGCUUGACUGCGAGCGUGACGGCGCGAGCAGGUGCGAAAGCAGGUCAUAGUGAUCCGGUGGUUCUGAAUGGAAGGGCCAUCGCUCAACGGAUAAAAGGUACUCCGGGGAUAACAGGCUGAUACCGCCCAAGAGUUCAUAUCGACGGCGGUGUUUGGCACCUCGAUGUCGGCUCAUCACAUCCUGGGGCUGAAGUAGGUCCCAAGGGUAUGGCUGUUCGCCAUUUAAAGUGGUACGCGAGCUGGGUUUAGAACGUCGUGAGACAGUUCGGUCCCUAUCUGCCGUGGGCGCUGGAGAACUGAGGGGGGCUGCUCCUAGUACGAGAGGACCGGAGUGGACGCAUCACUGGUGUUCGGGUUGUCAUGCCAAUGGCACUGCCCGGUAGCUAAAUGCGGAAGAGAUAAGUGCUGAAAGCAUCUAAGCACGAAACUUGCCCCGAGAUGAGUUCUCCCUGAGACUUAGAGUCUCCUGAAGGAACGUUGAAGACGACGACGUUGAUAGGCCGGGUGUGUAAGCGCAGCGAUGC